AGGCUCUGGAGCUGGGCCAGCUGCCAACGGGCAUCUGAGGGUGAAGGCUGCCUACCGUGCACAGGACAGGCCAAGCAGCUCCACAGGAGGAAUCAUACACCUGGGUAUGCAGGCAUGGAAUUCCUAGGGGCCCUCCAACCCAGCCUUCAUCCAACAGCUGGUAGAAGCAGACACCCACAGCUAAACACUGAACUGAACUGGAAUCCAGUUGCCGAGAAGGACGAGUGAUGAGCAAAGAGGUCCACACCAGGCUGGUGAAACCCACAGAAACAGCUGACCUGAAUAACGGGGAGCUCUUGCUCCCCAGACUGAUAGCUGGGAAACCAGCAUUGGACUGAUCCAGACCCCCUGAAUGUGGGUGUCAGUGAGGAGACCUUGGAAAUCUAUUGUAUUGGAUCAGUACUUAUCCCUAGCAUAGGAAUGGACUUUGGGAGCCCAUCCCACAUGGAGGGAUACUCCCUGAGCCUAGACACAAGGGUGUUAGCCUAGGCCCUAUCCCAAAGAAUAAGACAGACUUUGAAGACCCCCCUAUGGAAGGCCUCACCCUCCCUUGGGAGAAGAAAGAGUAUGGGAUAGGUAGGGUGUUAGUUGGGGGGGGGCAGGGGAGGAGGGGAAGGAAAGGGACCUGGGAUUGACAUGUAAAAUAAUUUUCUUUGUAAUUAAAAUAAAAAAAUAAAAAGAUCUCUCUCCCUUUCCUAUCAAUUGUGAACUGUGUAUAAAUCCUCAGGGAGGGAUGGGAUCCCAUAAGUCCUGACCUCAUGACAGGGUAUCAGUGGGCUCAGUCUUGUCCAGCUGAUGACGUGUCGUGUCAGUUCAAGUGUACAACAGCC
rnacentral:lncRNA from 1 species